rnacentral:rRNA from 1 species
CAGUCGCCACGGGAAUACGUAGGGCGCGAGCGUUACCCGGAUUUACUGGGCGUAAAGGGCGUGUAGGCGGCCUGGGGCGUCCCAUGUGAAAGGCCACGGCUCAACCGUGGAGGAGCGUGGGAUACGCUCAGGCUAGAGGGUGGGAGAGGGUGGUGGAAUUCCCGGAGUAGCGGUGAAAUGCGCAGAUACCGGGAGGAACGCCGAUGGCGAAGGCAGCCACCUGGUCCACUUCUGACGCUGAGGCGCGAAAGCGUGGGGAGCAAACCGGAUUAGAUACCCCGGUAGUCCCUGUCUCUUAUAC